CCUACGGGAGGCAGCAGUGAGGAAUAUUGGUCAAUGGGCGCGAGCCUGAACCAGCCAAGUCGCGUGAGGGAAGACGGUCCUCUGGAUUGUAAACCUCUUUUGUCGGGGAGAAAAAGACGCCGCGCGUGGCGUUCCGAGAGUACCCGAAGAAAAAGCAUCGGCUAACUCCGUGCCAGCAGCCGCGGUAAUACGGAGGAUGCGAGCGUUAUCCGGAUUUAUUGGGUUUAAGGGGUGCGCAGGCGGAAGAUCAAGUCAGCGUGAAACUUGAGAGGCUCAACCUCUUCGAGCCGUUGAAACUGGUUUUCUUGAGUGAGCGAGAAGUAUGCGGAAUGCGUGGUGUAGCGGUGAAAUGCAUAGAUAUCACGCAGAACUCCGAUGGCGAAGGCAGCAUACCGGCGCUCAACUGACGCUCAUGCACGAAAGUGUGGGUAGCGAACAGGAUUAGAUACCCGAGUAGUC
rnacentral:rRNA from 1 species